CAUCUACUCCCUCUAUCCCAAAAUUCUUGUCUUAGAUUUGUCUACAUAUGAAUGUAUCUAUUCACAUUUCAGUGUUAGUAGAUACAUCUGUAUCUAGAUAAAUUUAAGACAAGAAUUUUGAGACGGAGGGAGUACUAG
rfam:Triticum urartu cultivar G1812 contig86477, whole genome shotgun sequence.